GAUGAAGAACGCAGUGAAAUGCGAUAAGUAAUGUGAAUUGCAGAAUUCAGUGAAUCAUCGAGUCUUUGAACGCACAUUGCGCCCCCUGGUAUUCCGGGGGGCAUGCCUGUCCGAGCGUCAUUGCUGCCCUCAAGCACGGCUUGUGUGUUGGGCCCCCGUCCCCGGUUUCCCCCGGGGACGGGCCCGAAAGGCAGCGGCGGCACCGCGCCCGGUCCUCGAGCGUAUGGGGCUUUGUCACCCGCUCUGUAGGCCCGGCCGGCGCCAGCCGACACCCAACUUUAUUUCUAAGGUUGACCUCGGAUCAGGUAGGGAUACCCGCUGAACUUAAGCAUAUCAAUAAGCGGAGGA
rnacentral:misc_RNA from 1 species